UAAUAGAUAAAUAAUCCCUUUAUCCUCGGCUCUCACAUCAAUUAUAUCAGUUUUAGUUUUGUAUUUUUACUCUCCUGAGGUCAGAUGUUCACUUGAGCCUCUUGUUUGUGCGAGGAAAUUAAUUGUCAAAGCCCUGCUCUGAGCCUGUCAGAUAAUUCGACAAAGUUUGACUAGGCGUCCCUCUAGUUUCUCCUUGUUAGAGCACUCCAUGAUGGCAAUACGGUCCUCUCUCAAUAGAAUUGAUUCUAUGAGUUCAGUUCAACUUGGGAAGCUUAUACAUUUGUUUAAAAGGGUACUGCCCCUUUAAGUUAUCUCUCAUAUUGCUCUCUGACUUCAACCAAUCGUCUUCAUCUUCCUGUCUGUUGUUUGGAAGCACGUGUGGUGCCCUCUUUAUUUGAAAUGACCAGUCCUUCUUUAUUUCAUCAGUGGACAUAUUGGCUUUGAUUUGUUAAAAGUUUGUGUCAUUCACACAAGUUAUUGUAGUCGCAGGUGAUUCGUGUACCAACUUGAGAGCAAGUCGAAUUUGUGGCAUUUAUUUGUACAUUCAUCCAAGAGCGCUCAAAAUCUGCUACUUUUUACCUGUUUUGAGUUUUAAGGUCUUUUUUCCCCCCAGUGUUUUGAAGAAUGAUGUCUUGUAUAAUGAGAAAAGCUAUCAUUUUGUGUAGGUAUACAUAAGUUGUGGUUUUAUUUAUUCAUGUAAAUAUAGAUUUGAAUGUAUGAACUGCAUAUCAAAACAGUCUCGCCAUCCCUGUUAGUCAAACCACUUAUCUGUAAUGACUCGCUAAACCCUUUAUUUUCAGUAAACUAUACCUUUAAUAUAAUUUAAAACAUGACUUGUACAUGUACUGCUGUGACGCACACGGGUCCUGCUCUCUUGCACACUUGCUCUCAGGUUGUUUUUUUGGAUAAUCUAGCAGCCAUUUUAGCUAGUCGGUCCAUAAGCACUCCAUUAGCUCGAUGGCACUUUUCCCCCAAUCAUCAUUUCCCACUUAUCUAAUAGCGUGAGAAGAAUUGUCUGGUUUGCUGUGCCCUUUUCCAGAGUGACUGUUUUCAUCAUGAUGUACAUGAUUGGUUUAUGCGAUGUCGGGUUAAUUUAAAUAACGAGGAAUUUGGAGAUGGUUGAUUGAAUAUUGUUGUGAACAAUGGGGAGCCUUGGGGUCAAAAAGGCUGAGAACCACUGUUAUA
rnacentral:lncRNA from 1 species